UGAGUAACACGUAUCCAACCUGCCGUCUACUCUUGGACAGCCUUCUGAAAGGAAAGAUUAAUACAAGAUGGCAUCAUGAGUCCACAUGUUCACAUGAUUAAAGGUAUUCCGGUAGACGAUGGGGAUGCGUUCCAUUAGAUAGUAGGCGGGGUAACGGCCCACCUAGUCUUCGAUGGAUAGGGGUUCUGAGAGGAAGGUCCCCCACAUUGGAACUGAGACACGGUCCAA
rnacentral:rRNA from 1 species